UACGAAGGGGGCUAGCGUUGCUCGGAAUCACUGGGCGUAAAGGGUGCGUAGGCGGGUCUUUUAAGUCAGGGGUGAAAUCCUGGAGCUCAACUCCAGAACUGCCUUUGAUACUGAAGAUCUUGAGUUCGGGAGAGGUGAGUGGAGCUGCGAGUGUAGAGGUGAAAUUCGUAGAUAUUCGCAAGAACACCAGUGGCGAAGGCGGCCGACUGGUCCGGUUCUGACGCUGAGGCGCGAAAGCGUGGGGAGCAAACAGG
rnacentral:rRNA from 1 species